CCUACGGGUGGCUGCAGUGGGGAAUAUUGCACAAUGGGCGCAAGCCUGAUGCAGCCAUGCCGCGUGUGUGAAGAAGGCCUUCGGGUUGUAAAGCACUUUCAGCGGGGAGGAAGGCGGUGAGGUUAAUAACCUCAUCGAUUGACGUUACCCGCAGAAGAAGCACCGGCUAACUCCGAGCCAGCAGCCGCGGUAAUACGGAGGGUGCAAGCGUUAAUCGGAAUUACUGGGCGUAAAGCGCACGCAGGCGGUCUGUCAAGUCGGAUGUGAAAUCCCCGGGCUCAACCUGGGAACUGCAUUCGAAACUGGCAGGCUAGAGUCUUGUAGAGGGGGGUAGAAUUCCAGGUGUAGCGGUGAAAUGCGUAGAGAUCUGGAGGAAUACCGGUGGCGAAGGCGGCCCCCUGGACAAAGACUGACGCUCAGGUGCGAAAGCGUGGGGAGCAAACAGGAUUAGAUACCCUUGUAGUC
rnacentral:rRNA from 1 species